UGAGUCGGUCGGACGACCGCGACGGUUUGGUGCUCGCACCCGAUCGUCGAGGAAAGUCGGGACUUCGCAGGACAAAGUGCUGGCGAAAGCCAGGUCGGGGAAACCUGACAUCUCGUGCAACAGAAAACAAACCGCCGAUGGAUGGGUCGCAAGACUCUUCACAGGCAAGGAUGAAACGGUGCGGUAAGAGCGCACCAGCGCGGUUGGCGACAAUCGCGGCUCGGCACGUCACUUGAAGCAAGGCCAUGCAGAGGGCAUGAACGGUUCGUUCGCUUUCGGGCAACCCUCGGGUAGGCCGCAUAGAUGGAUGGUCGUCGGUUUUUGCGGGAAACUGCAGGA
rnacentral:RNase_P_RNA from 1 species